rnacentral:lncRNA from 1 species
UCUGAGUUGUUCAGGAUCACUGCAUUGUCCAGGGAUAUGUCAGGACACAUUCAGGACCUUAAGGAGGGUUAGUGAUGCUGGAGGAGAAAAAAGGGAAUGUUGAAGAGGAUGGACAGAGUGGAAAACAAAGGAAAAUGGGGCCUUUAAAGAAAUUGUUUAUAUACCCUAAAGAAAUCAGCUCUUAUUUCAGUCAAGAUCACAGAAGGAAAAGCUUGGAGAUAUUUUAUAUUUUCUUUUCAGAAGUGUAAAAAAAUACUUAAAAGUACAUAUAUGGACUGACCGUAGAUUUAUGGCCAAUGACUUUUUGUAAGGCAGGAGGAUUGAGGCCGCUAAUGUAAGUUUAUGAGUACAGCUGGCACAUUUAAUGGCAGGUUUAUAGG